rnacentral:rRNA from 1 species
GACGAACGCUGGCGGCGUGCUUAACACAUGCAAGUCGAACGGAAAGGCCCUGCUUUUGUUGGGUGCUCGAGUGGCGAACGGGUGAGUAACACGUGAGUAACCUGCCCUUGACUUUGGGAUAACUUCAGGAAACUGGGGCUAAUACCGGAUAGGAGCUCCUGCUGCAUGGUGGGGGUUGGAAAGUUUCGGCGGUUGGGGAUGGACUCGCGGGUAAUCAGCUUGUUGGUGGGGUAGUGGCUUACCAAGGCUUUGACGGGUAGCCGGCCUGAGAGGGUGACCGGCCACAUUGGGACUGCGAUACGGACCAGAAUCCUACGGGAGGCAGCAGUGGGGAAUAUUGCACAAUGGGCGGAAGCCUGAUGCAGCAACGCCGCGUGCGGGAUGACGGCCUUCGGGUUGUAAACCGCUUUCGCCUGUGACGAAGCGUGAGUGACGGUAAUGGGUAAAGAAGCACCGGCUAACUACGUG